CAGUUAUCGUUUAUUUGAUAGUACCUUGCUACUUGGAUACCUGUGGUAAUUCUAGAGCUAAUACAUGCUAAAAACCUCGACUUCGGAAGGGGUGUAUUUAUUAGAUAAAAAACCAAUGCCCUUCGGGGCUCCUUGGUGAUUCAUAAUAACUUAACGAAUCGCAUGGCCUUGCGCCGGCGAUGGUUCAUUCAAAUUUCUGCCCUAUCAACUUUCGAUGGUAGGAUAGUGGCCUACCAUGGUGUUAACGGGUAACGGGGAAUUAGGGUUCUAUUCCGGAGAGGGAGCCUGAGAAACGGCUACCACAUCCAAGGAAGGCAGCAGGCGCGCAAAUUACCCAAUCCCGACACGGGGAGGUAGUGACAAUAAAUACUGAUACAGGGCCCUUUCGGGUCUUGUAAUUGGAAUGAGUACAAUUUAAAUCCCUUAACGAGGAACAAUUGGAGGGCAAGUCUGGUGGACUCACAGUCCCGGUCAGUUGAAGCUUUGCUUCUCUGCUGGCGCCAGAUACAGGCCGUCCCUCCGGGCUUUACAGGCUCGGGGGUCGGUUUAGUGGAGCCUGUCUCCGCGAGGUGUUCGGCACGGGGAAGGGCCAUUCCGGCUUCAUCCCGUGGGCGAAGGUACCCGUACCUCCGCCCUUAACGCGCGCAAGGACGCCGGUGAACGUUUUUCACUUGAGGGACGUGCUAACCCCGCCCGUCAAGGGCCUGGGGCGACCCCGAAGAGGGCGCUCCUCCGGGGACGAUAGUGGCCAGCAGCCGCGGUAAUUCCAGCUCCAAUAGCGUAUAUUAAAGUUGUUGCAGUUAAAAAGCUCGUAGUUGAACCUUGGGCCUGGCUGGCCGGUCCGCCUCACCGCGUGCACUGGUCCGGCCGGGCCUUUCCUUCUGGGGAUCCACAUGCCCUUCACUGGGUGUGCCGGGGAACCAGGACUUUUACUUUGAAAAAAUUAGAGUGUUCAAAGCAGGCCUAUGCUCGAAUACAUUAGCAUGGAAUAAUAGAAUAGGACGUGUGGUUCUAUUUUGUUGGUUUCUAGGACCGCCGU
rnacentral:rRNA from 1 species